GCUUUGUAUGCUUGCUGCUCAGAGUUGCCAGCCAGGGUUGGCUACCGGGACCAGAUCGACCAUUGAAAAGCUCAAUUGGGGAAGCAAUUUAUUUCAACACACGGCUGGGAAUUAACAUUCCUGUGCGAAAUUCUACACGCCAAAAAUACGACUCUAACCAGUUCUAAUUGAUCUCCGGCGGAGACAGACUCGGAAUUCUAGGAGUGCCCCUCGAAACAUAAAUUCUCGCCCCAUCGCAGAUCCGUCCCGGACAUAACAUCACGUACUCACCUGGCUUUCCAGUGGAGUUUUCAUUGCAACUCGGUCACGUAGAAGCUUUUCCUUUUCUCCCUCUGUCGUCCCCUAGCGGCAGGAGAGGCGGCAGCAGCCCCACACUCACACACACACACGCACACAGUGAAACCUGCUAUUAUCUAUUUUGUCUCUCUGCAGUUGGACUUUUAAUUACAAUAAAUUAUAGUUAUGCAUUUUUGCACUCCACUUGACUCAA